CUAGAGUUUGAUCCUGGCUCAGGACGAACGCUGGCGGCGUGCCUAAUACAUGCAAGUCGAGCGGACCGAAUAGAAGCUUGCUUCUGUUUGGUUAGCGGCGGACGGGUGAGUAACACGUGGGCAACCUGCCCGUAAGACGGGGAUAACUUCGGGAAACCGGAGCUAAUACCCGAUAACCCUGAAGACCGCAUGGUCUUUAGUUGAAAGGCGGCUUCGGCUGUCACUUACGGAUGGGCCCGCGGCGCAUUAGCUAGUUGGUGAGGUAACGGCUCACCAAGGCGACGAUGCGUAGCCGACCUGAGAGGGUGAUCGGCCACACUGGGACUGAGACACGGCCCAGACUCCUACGGGAGGCAGCAGUAGGGAAUCUUCCGCAAUGGACGAAAGUCUGACGGAGCAACGCCGCGUGAGCGAAGAAGGUCUUCGGAUUGUAAAGCUCUGUUGUUAGGGAAGAACAAGUGCGGUUCGAAUAGGGCCGUACCUUGACGGUACCUAACGAGAAAGCCACGGCUAACUACGUGCCAGCAGCCGCGGUAAUACGUAGGUGGCAAGCGUUGUCCGGAAUUAUUGGGCGUAAAGCGCGCGCAGGCGGUUCCUUAAGUCUGAUGUGAAAGCCCACGGCUCAACCGUGGAGGGUCAUUGGAAACUGGGGGACUUGAGUGCAGAAGAGGAGAGCGGAAUUCCACGUGUAGCGGUGAAAUGCGUAGAGAUGUGGAGGAACACCAGUGGCGAAGGCGGCUCUCUGGUCUGUAACUGACGCUGAGGCGCGAAAGCGUGGG
rnacentral:rRNA from 1 species